AACCCAGUUCACAGUGGGUGAAGGGACAGCUAGCUCAGAGGGAACCGGAGAAGCAGAGAGCUCAAACCAAACUGAAUGGCAGAAGAAGAAAUCCAGAUGAAGGGGGUUGGGGGAGAAACAAGCAGGCCGGGGAGAAAGAAAAGAAACCGUAGGAGGGAGAGAUAAAAGAUAGAAGUGGAGGAAAACAGGAAGCCAGAGUCUCCUGAGGAGAACAGGGAGAGACAGAGGGGUGGGAUGGGGUGCAGGGUGGGUGGGAAGGAGGCAGAUAUCAGAUAAGACUGGAGGAGAGAAGGGGGAGAAUAAUGACAGCAGAAAAAAAAUGAAAAUAGCUUAGAAUAAAGGCACCAAUCUCAGGUCAUUUGGAGUUGCAACUCUGAGGAACAAGUAUUAUUAAGUUGGGCAGGCCGGGCUCGGAGCCCCAUGCCUGGAAUCCCAGCACUUUGGGAGGCCGAUGGCGGAGGAUCUCUUGAGCCCAGGGGUUUGAGACUAGCCUGGGCAACAUAUUGAGACCUUGUCUCUACAAAUAAUAAUAAAAAGCUGGGUGUGGUGGUGCUAGCCAGUAGUCUCAGCUACUCAGGAGGCCAAGGUGGGAGUAUCGCUUGAGCCCAGGAAUUCCACAUCAGCCUGGCCAACAAAGCCAGACCCCAUCUCCACACACACCACCCCCCCCCCCAAAUUAAUCCUAGUGGUAUGCGCCUGUAGUCUCAGCUACUGGAAAGGCUGAGGCGGGAGGAUCACUUAUCACUUGAGUCCAGGAGGUGGAGGCUGCAGUGAGCUGUGAUGGCGGGUGACAGGGUGAGACCUUUCCCUGCCCCCUAAAAAAGAAAGAGGGGCAGAGGCCGGGCAUGGUGGCUCAGGCCUGUAAUCUCAGCACUUUGGGAGGCCGGCGGGUGGAUCACUUGGUCAGGAGUUUGAGACCUGCCUGGCCAACAUGGUGAAAGCUCGUCUCUACUAAAAAUACAAAAAUUAGCCGGGUGUGGUGGUGUGAGCCUGUAAUCCCAGCUACUGAGGCAGCAGAAUCGCUUGAACCCAAGAGGCAGAGGUUGCAGUGAGCCAAGAUCGUGCCACUGCACUCUAGCCUGGGUGACAGAGCCAGACUCCGUCUAAAAAAAAAAAAAAGGGCAGAGAGAAAGAUACACACAGACACAGAUGGAGAGGAGGGGGCUGAGAAUUGUGUGGCCAGUAUGUGGGCAGAAAGAGAAACUGAGGCUGGGGCUUAGAGGAAAUCACAGGGGGAGGCCAGCAGAUGCGUGAAACUUGGUGAAUCUUUAUUAAACUAGGGUCCACCCCAGGAGGACGGCUGGGGCGGGGACAGGGUCUCCCGCUGCAGGCUGCGCGGAGGCAGGAGGCACGGGGUGGCGUGGGGUCGCAUGGCUGCAGGCGUAUCUGCUGGGCCUGCUCCUCCAGCUUGGCGCGCACCUCCGCCACCUGCUCCUUCACCUCGUCCAGGCGCUCGCGGAUGGCGCUGAGG
rnacentral:lncRNA from 1 species